rnacentral:misc_RNA from 1 species
UUUUAUUUGAGAUUCCACUAUGCGUUUUCGAGCAUCAUUGAGUGUGUUCCACUCGGAAGAUUCACGAAUAGCUUUAAAAGCAUUGUAAAUAGGUUUGCUUUGCCCCAACCUAAGCUGAAAUUUUACUUUCUCCGGCUGAACUUCUUCGAUUGCGAUCCGAAGAUCAGCAGUAUCCUUAACAGACUUGAGAUGGUUGACGAUACCCCAAACCACAUUCAAACGGUCUACAAUCUUCUCUAAUGGCUCAACCAAUUUUGACCAAGAUGGCUCCACUGUUCG